CUCUGGACAAGUUGUCUAGGCUCUGACCUCAGCCUCCCCCAUGGACAUAGGAACCACAGGCAGCACCCUCACCCCACGGAGCCAGGGGAGGGUUGCCUGAGCCCAGCUUGCCCUUGAGACUCAUGGGUUGGUGUAACUUCGGCCACAGCCAAGGGAGGCCAGCAUCACCCACCCCGUGGCCACUGUCCUCAAAAUGGCCUGAAGUGGGGAGGGAACAUGUCAUGCUCACCUGACUGACCAGUUGCGGUGUGAGUUGUGCCUCCUGCACUCACAUCGAGGUGGGCAGUGUGAGACGGCAGAGCCGCUCACAAAGGAGACAAGUGCCUCCAACUGCUAUGGACAAGAGCAGUCAGGGUGCCAGGCAGUGGGCGGAACUUGGGGGUGCUGCCAUUCCACCAGGCCAUGGGGUGACAGGUGCAGCCUGAAGGGCUUCCCAGCUUCAUCCGCAUGUCUCUCAGCAGCGAGGUGAUAGGAUGCCUCGUCAUCAGGAGCCACUGUCCUCCCUCAGGUGUCAGCUUCCACCUCAUGUCCCUUUGCUGUUUGGUCUUUUAAAGAGCGGGUUUGCGGAAGCGCCCUCCACUCAGGAAAUCGGAAGGGCAGACAUUUCCCUGUUCCGUGCUCUUCUCUGACUCUGAUUACACAUUUCCCACAGAGACACGUGACUCUGUGGGGUGCAUGUGUCACUUGUUGUAAGUGGCUCCCGGGACACGUGUUCCCUUGGAAAGGCUGUUCUGGGUCACGGCAGUAUCACACUGAGUCAUCUCUGUGUUUUCAUUGCUGUCAGGCUCAUCCCUCUGGUGACAGCUCCUCAAGUUUUCCUGGAUUUUCUUGUUCAGUGAUUUCUCCAUGUGAACUUAAAAUCAGCUCAUCUAGGUCCCCAAAUCCCCGAGUCAUGUUUUCCUGGGCUCAUCUGUACUUUGACAUAAGGAGAAGCACGUCUUCUCGGGGGCCUCCUGUCCAGCAAAGGGACAGCUGUCCUCUCACUCCCUCCUGGUACUGGACGCCGAUGGUGCUGGACUCAAGCGAUUCCUGCCUGGGACAGGGAAGGGGGUGGCUGGCUGGCACACGGACUCUCACCUGGCAGGGAGUGGUGGGUGAGGGGUCUCUGUACA
rnacentral:lncRNA from 1 species